AGGUUCACUUAAAAGUGGUUUGUUAAAGACGGAACAUGGACCCAGUUCUGACUGGCUGGUUUGACAAGACCUAUGCACAAUAUCAGAGAAUUUGAGAGUUGGAAGCAACCUUGGAAGCAAUCUAUUCUAACCACAAGGAAAAAAAAGAUCCAAGAAGAAUACAUCCAAUAAGUGGUUAUCCAGCCUCUGCUUAAAGAAUAUCUAUUGGGAACACAUGAUAUGCAAACUCCCCCUACCAAUGCAGAUCAUCAACUCCUUGAUCUGUACCCAAUCUAUGCUUGCCCAAAUGUGAGUAUUGUCAAUGCCAUAUCCUAUUACACAUCUGCUACAUGGGACCAAUCUAACAUCAAGGAGGGGAAGAUCUUUGUCCCAUUUGUUCAAUAUUUGUUUAUCAUUGUGAACUGACUAUGUUACUCUCACUAUAUGACUGAUUAUCCUUUUUUCUGGUCAUACAUUUCUCUGAUGACCUCCUUUACUCUAUUUCUUGGAAAUCCUCCAUUUGUAAAAUAUUACAAUCUGUAAAGAUCUUCUAGUAGUCUUCUUCUUAAGUAUAUUUUUGAUAAUUCAUAAUUCAAGAUUUCUAAUCCCAAAUGAGUUACAUACUCAUAAAUUUUCUAAUAGAUUAAUAUAUUUCCCCUUCAUUAUUACUAACCUUUGAUUAAGACAAGUGGGUUAAUUGAUUUAACUUGAUAUGAAAAUUAAAUGAGCCGAAGGAAAAG